rnacentral:lncRNA from 1 species
GGCAGCGGCUACAGCCAGAGGACCACUGAGAUAGCGAGGGUUCCGCAGGCCCCUGGUGCCAACGGAAUAAGCGGACUUCAGGGGUAGGGUCUGCGGCUCUCCUCUGGUCUGACUCCUGCGCUAGAGACGGCUCGGUAACUCCAGAACCUCGAGUGCGAAGCGUAUUGAGGUGCCUGCCCCAGAUGAGAAAAAAGGCUGAGAUAAGUCAACUGACUUGAGUAGGGUUGUACAACUACAGAAUCCUAUAUGAUUGCAACAGACACAAGAGAUUUCUUGUGGAAGGGAGAAUCUUUAAAGCUGCAAUUUGCUCUACAUUUCAUAAAUUGAAGAAUUGGGUUUCAAAUGUGAUGGUUCUGAUGACAUCAUUGGUGAAAAUAGACUGUUAUAGAAGAGCUGAAAUGAGGAAUCCAAAAUGGCUAAACAAGAGGUUAUGGCUGAGCUCAUCUCCUCAACUUCACCUCAAAAUGGAAAUAACUGUGCCUUAGUAAAAGAGAACAACCUAAAAAGGCAAAAAAAAUCAUCUUAAAAAAUAAAAUGUAACAAAAAAGUGAGUAAUGAAAAAAUGCCCCAAUACAGUGAAAAUUUCCAGAAAAAACAAUAGAUGCACAGAAGCCAAAAUGAAGCUACUUGAAGAAUAUUUAAGGUAGUUAAUAAAGUCAAUAAAAGUGAUGACAAGAUAUGUGGUAUCUACAAAAUUAGAUAUAAAAUCAGUAAAGAAAAAAAGACAAGCAUAAUAUUUGACUAUUUGAAACAAUUGGUGGAAAAAUAUUUGUUAAUGGUUGAUUCUUGGAGGAAUAGAAUGGCUCAAAUGUAAGCCCAAAAGUUGGGGAGGUGAUAGAACCAAUUAAUAGCAAACCAGUUUAAUUUUUUAAAGUUUUAUUCAUGUGUUCUGUUUUGUCCCCAUUAUAAACAUUUACAGAUUAG